rnacentral:rRNA from 1 species
CAUUGGAAUCGACAUCUUGAACGCAUAGUGUGCGGCCUCGGGCUCCAUCCCGAGGCCACGCCCGUCUGAGGGUCGGCU